AGUGAACGCUGGCGGUAGGCCUAACACAUGCAAGUCGAACGGCAGCACAGUAAGAGCUUGCUCUUACGGGUGGCGAGUGGCGGACGGGUGAGGAAUACAUCGGAAUCUACUUUUUCGUGGGGGAUAACGUAGGGAAACUUACGCUAAUACCGCAUACGACCUACGGGUGAAAGCAGGGGAUCUUCGGACCUUGCGCGAUUGAAUGAGCCGAUGUCGGAUUAGCUAGUUGGCGGGGUAAAUGCCCACCAAGGCGACGAUCCGUAGCUGGUCUGAGAGGAUGAUCAGCCACACUGGAACUGAGACACGGUCCAGACUCCUACGGGAGGCAGCAGUGGGGAAUAUUGGACAAUGGGCGCAAGCCUGAUCCAGCCAUACCGCGUUGGUGAAGAAGGCCUUCGGGUUGUAAAGCCCUUUUGUUGGGAAAGAAAAGCAGCAGGUUAAUACCCCGCUGUUCUGACGGUACCCAAAGAAUAAGCACCGGCUAACUUCGUG
rnacentral:rRNA from 1 species